rnacentral:rRNA from 1 species
GGCGGACGGGUGAGUAAUGCUUGGGAAUAUGCCUUAUGGUGGGGGACAACAGUUGGAAACGACUGCUAAUACCGCAUGAUGUCUACGGACCAAAGUGGGGGACCUUCGGGCCUCACGCCAUAAGAUUAGCCCAAGUGGGAUUAGCUAGUUGGUGAGGUAAUGGCUCACCAAGGCGACGAUCCCUAGCUGGUUUGAGAGGAUGAUCAGCCACACUGGGACUGAGACACGGCCCAGACUCCUACGGGAGGCAGCAGUGGGGAAUAUUGCACAAUGGGCGCAAGCCUGAUGCAGCCAUGCCGCGUGUGUGAAGAAGGCCUUCGGGUUGUAAAGUACUUUCAGUAAGGAGGAAAGGUUAAGUGUUAAUAGCACUUAGCUGUGACGUUACUUACAGAAGAAGCACCGGCUAACUCCGUGCCAGCAGCCGCGGUAAUACGGAGGGUGCGAGCGUUAAUCGGAAUUACUGGGCGUAAAGCGUAC